rnacentral:rRNA from 2 species
UAGAAAUUCGCGCGUGCCUAAUACAUGCAAGUCGAGCGAACUGAUUAGAAGCUUGCUUCUAUGACGUUAGCGGCGGACGGGUGAGUAACACGUGGGCAACCUGCCUGUAAGACUGGGAUAACUUCGGGAAACCGAAGCUAAUACCGGAUAGGAUCUUCUCCUUCAUGGGAGAUGAUUGAAAGAUGGUUUCGGCUAUCACUUACAGAUGGGCCCGCGGUGCAUUAGCUAGUUGGUGAGGUAACGGCUCACCAAGGCCACGAUGCAUAGCCGACCUGAGAGGGUGAUCGGCCACACUGGGACUGAGACACGCCCAGACUCCUACGGGAGGCAGCAGUAGGGAAUCUUCCGCAAUGGACGAAAGUCUGACGGAGCAACGCCGCGUGAGUGAUGAAGGCUUUCGGGUCGUAAAACUCUGUUGUUAGGGAAGAACAAGUACAAGAGUAACUGCUUGUACCUUGACGGUACCUAACCAGAAAGCCACGGCUAACUACGUGCCAGCAGCCGCGGUAAUACGUAGGUGGCAAGCGUUAUCCGGAAUUAUUGGGCGUAAAGCGCGCGCAGGCGGUUUCUUAAGUCUGAUGUGAAAGCCCACGGCUCAACCGUGGAGGGUCAUUGGAAACUGGGGAACUUGAGUGCAGAAGAGAAAAGCGGAAUUCCACGUGUAGCGGUGAAAUGCGUAGAGAUGUGGAGGAACACCAGUGGCGAAGGCGGCUUUUUGGUCUGUAACUGACGCUGAGGCGCGAAAGCGUGGGGAGCAAACAGGAUUAKAUACCCUGGUAGUCCACGCCGUAAACGAUGAGUGCUAAGUGUUAKAGGGUUUCCGCCCUUUAGUGCUGCAGCUAACGCAUUAAGCACUCCGCCUGGGGAGUACGGUCGCAAGACUGAAACUCAAAGGAAUUGACGGGGGCCCGCACAAGCGGUGGAGCAUGUGGUUUAAUUCGAAGCAACGCGAAGAACCUUACCAGGUCUUGACAUCCUCUGACAACUCUAGAGAUAGAGCGUUCCCCUUCGGGGGACAGAGUGACAGGUGGUGCAUGGUUGUCGUCAGCUCGUGUCGUGAGAUGUUGGGUUAAGUCCCGCAACGAGCGCAACCCUUGAUCUUAGUUGCCAGCAUUUAGUUGGGCACUCUAAGGUGACUGCCGGUGACAAACCGGAGGAAGGUGGGGAUGACGUCAAAUCAUCAUGCCCCUUAUGACCUGGGCUACACACGUGCUACAAUGGAUGGUACAAAGGGCUGCAAGACCGCGAGGUCAAGCCAAUCCCAUAAAACCAUUCUCAGUUCGGAUUGUAGGCUGCAACUCGCCUACAUGAAGCUGGAAUCGCUAGUAAUCGCGGAUCAGCAUGCCGCGGUGAAUACGUUCCCGGGCCUUGUACACACCGCCCGUCACACCACGAGAGUUUGUAACACCCGAAGUCGGUGGAGUAACCGUAAGGAGCUAGCCGCCUAAGGUGGACAGAUGACCCCCC